AGAGUUUGAUCAUGGCUCAGAACGAACGCUGGCGGCGUGGAUAAGACAUGCAAGUCGAACGGGAACUUUACUGGUAGCAAUACCGGUGAAGUUCUAGUGGCGAACGGGUGCGUAACACGUGGGCAAUCUGCCUUAAAGUGGGGGAUAGCUCGGCGAAAGCCGAAUUAAUACCGCAUGUGAUCAGGGGAGACAUCUUCCCCGAAAUCAAAAGUGGCGCAAGCUACUGCUUUUUGAGGAGCCCGCGGCCUAUCAGCUAGUUGGUGAGGUAAUGGCUCACCAAGGCUUUGACGGGUAGCUGGUCUGAGAGGACGACCAGUCACACUGGAACUGAGACACGGUCCAGACACCUACGGGUGGCAGCAGUCGAGAAUUUUUCUCAAUGGGGGAAACCCUGAAGGAGCGACGCCGCGUGGAGGAUGAAGGUCUUCGGGUUGUAAACUCCUGUCAUUUGGGAACAAGUGCCGGUAAGUAACUGCUACCGGCUUGAUAGUACCAGAAGAGGAAGGGACGGCUAACUCUGUGCCAGCAGCCGCGGUAAUACAGAGGUCUCAAGCGUUGUUCGGAUUCAUUGGGCGUAAAGGGUGUGUAGGUGGCGCCGUAAGUCGGGUGUGAAAUUUCGGAGCUUAACUCCGAAACUGCAUUCGAUACUGCGGUGCUUGAGGACUGGAGAGGAGACUGGAAUUCAUGGUGUAGCAGUGAAAUGCGUAGAGAUCAUGAGGAAGACCAGUGGCGAAGGCGGGUCUCUGGACAGUUCCUGACACUGAGACACGAAGGCCAGGGGAGCAAACGGGAUUAGAUACCCCAGUAGUCC
rnacentral:rRNA from 1 species